UGGUGGGAAAGGGGGAGUGUUCCGUGUGGAGUAUCCCAAGUGCUGAGAAGGAUAGACUCCUGCUGUUGCUGUAGCAGAUGGAAUGGAGAGGGGAUGAAAAGAGAAGAGAAGGAAAGAGGGGAAUUAUUCCUGUGUCUGGUGUAUAUUAACCCCCAUCCUCAUUAUUCUUCAGUCCUCCCUUCCCCUCUUCCCUUACCCCCAAGGUUCCCCCUACUGCCCUCCCCCACCUUCAGCUGCUCAUGGCAUCAGAAGCAGAGAAAACGUUCCAGCGAUUUGCUGUCUUUGGAGAAUCAUCAAGCAGUGGCACUGAAAUGAACAACAAAAAUUUCUCUAAACUGUGCAAAGACUGUGGCAUCAUGGACGGCAAGGCAGUCACCUCCACUGAUGUGGACAUCGUGUUCAGUAAAGUGAAGGCCAAGAAUGCCCGAACCAUCACAUUUUCAGAGUUUCAAGAGGCAAUGAAGGAGCUGGGCCAGAAGCGGUUCAAGGGGAAGAACCCAGAUGAAGCCCUGCAGGCUGUUUUUAAACUCAUGGAAGGCAAGGACCCUGCCACCACUGGAGUUACUAAGGCAACAACAGUGGGUGGAGUAGAUCGUCUGACAGACACCAGCAAGUACACCGGUACCCACAAGGAGCGCUUUGAUGACAGUGGCAAGGGCAAGGGGAUUGCAGGACGGGAAGAGGUCUCAGUCUCACCCAGUCUGUGAGCUGCAACACUUGUAGAAUGAGCUUCAGCAGCUUGUGAGUGAGAAAUGCUCCCAGUGGUCCCUGGCCCAACACCCUUUGCUAAAAAAAUGCAGAGCACUAAGAGGAACAAACUGGGCUGAUGAGUCUAACAGUUCUGGAGGAAGAACAGGAACUGAAGACAGCUGGGCGGGGCAGGGAUGCUUCUUGCCUGAGGCCAAGAACAAGCUAGAGUACUGUGGAUUGAACCAAGGCUAGUUAAAUGCUCUACCACUGAACUACAUCCCCAGCCAGAAGUCUGUGCUUGGAAGACCUCCCYUAUUGUGACAUCCAAGAAAGUGAGGAUAAAGCCCACCAGAACAGGUGGCUCAUCUGGAUCCUUCAGGCCACUCAAGACAACACUGAAUGGGAGCCAAUGAACUGUGGUUCCUGAGCCUGGCUUUGAAGAAGCCGACCAGAAAGGCUGUGAUCUCAACCUUGAAUCAUGCUACCUCUUCCCUAGUCCCUCAUGGCUGCAGCUUCCCUGAGAARAGACAGGGCUUUUUAUGCCUCUUAGACUUCUCUCCCUUCAUUCCCCACCCACCAUUACCACUCUUACUCCUCCCCACACCUCCACUUACCUGUGC